AGCGAACGCUGGCGGCAGGCUUAACACAUGCAAGUCGAGCGGGCGUAGCAAUACGUCAGCGGCAGACGGGUGAGUAACGCGUGGGAACGUACCUUUUGGUUCGGAACAACCCAGGGAAACUUGGGCUAAUACCGGAUAAGCCCUUACGGGGAAAGAUUUAUCGCCGAAAGAUCGGCCCGCGUCUGAUUAGCUAGUUGGUGAGGUAAUGGCUCACCAAGGCGACGAUCAGUAGCUGGUCUGAGAGGAUGAUCAGCCACAUUGGGACUGAGACACGGCCCAAACUCCUACGGGAGGCAACAGUGGGGAAUAUUGGACAAUGGGCGCAAGCCUGCUCCAGCCAUGCCGCGUGAGUGAUGAAGGCCCUAGGGUUGUAAAGCUCUUCUGUGCGGGAAGAUAAUGACGGUACCGCAAGAAUAAGCCCCGGCUAACUUCGUGCCAGCCGCCGCGGUAAAAC
rnacentral:rRNA from 1 species